AGUGAACGCCGGCGGUAGGCCUAACACAUGCAAGUCGAACGGCAGCACAGUAAGAGCUUGCUCUUACGGGUGGCGAGUGGCGGACGGGUGAGGAAUACAUCGGAAUCUACUUUUUCGUGGGGGAUAACGUAGGGAAACUUACGCUAAUACCGCAUACGACCUACGGGUGAAAGCAGGGGAUCUUCGGACCUUGCGCGAUUGAAUGAGCCGAUGUCGGAUUAGCUAGUUGGCGGGGUAAAGGCCCACCAAGGCGACGAUCCGUAGCUGGUCUGAGAGGAUGAUCAGCCACACUGGAACUGAGACACGGUCCAGACUCCUACGGGAGGCAGCAGUGGGGAAUAUUGGACAAUGGGCGCAAGCCUGAUCCAGCCAUACCGCGUGGGUGAAGAAGGCCUUCGGGUUGUAAAGCCCCUUUGUUGGGAAAGAAAAGCAGCAGGUUAAUACCCCGCUGUUCUGACGGUACCCAAAGAAUAAGCACCGGCUAACUUCGUG
rnacentral:rRNA from 1 species